AAUAAAACAAUGGAAUAGAAAAGCAGGGCCAUAUUUUUCAUAUUGAAAUUUAUAACCAAACUUUUAUACAAAACACAAACCACUUCAAAACUAUUCACAUCAAAAUGGAGAUCUCAAAAGAAGACAGAAACUUAGACGAACUGGGCCGUACUCAAGGCCCCUCUCAGGAUUGCCUUCUUCCUCCAAAAAUCUUUCUCCUUAAGAUUCGCCUCCGAGUCCUCCUUCUCGGAUUCCUCCUUCUCAGCUCUUCAGCGUGGUCCUGAAAUGGUUUUCCCCAAACUGGGAUGAGACUACGUCUCAGCGAG
rnacentral:lncRNA from 1 species